rnacentral:misc_RNA from 1 species
GGAGGUUCAAGUCCUCCCAGGCCCACCAAUUUACCUAUCCAUUUGCCUUUAUCCGUUUAUUUGCCGAUUUAUCGGUCCAUUGAAUUUAAGUGUUGGUAGCGGUUUUUAUAAUGAUGAGAAAUCAUGCUUAUAAAAGAACUCCUUAUAAAAGGCUUGUUUUUAAAAUGUGACGCUUAUCCAUUUCGCUUAGGCAAGAGAAACUUCAAGCGGUUCCAAUGCAAAAGGCUUUAAAUUUUGCAAAACACUUUGAAUUUUAAAGUGAUCCAAGUUCGUGAUCUCGAAUUUAAAAGUUUCGAAUGCUUUAUCCUUUUUGGGGGGC